CUGGUGUUGGCGAAGCUGCAAUUGAGGGCGGACAUCCCUCUGUUUGGAGACUGGCUGAUCGCCGGGGUCAGGCUGGCCCGAACGGUGGUCGGGAUCGCUUCCAAACAGUGGAUCGUCGGGCUUUGCGUGGUCGGGGCCCCAGACUUGAUCGUGGUCGCGGCUCAUGGCGUGGCCAUGGUGGACGCUUUGGAGGGCGCUCGUUUCUGGAAUCUGAUAGAAGAGUCAUCCGAGACAAUGCCUGAAUCGAGCAGGGGAGUCGUGUCAUCCAAUGCUUUUGAUGAAGAUGCUAAAAAGAGAGCAGCAGACACAGUAGAUGACGGCGCCCUGGCUGAUGGCAAGGGCAAGAAACGCCGUGAGGAUCCCUGCUGUGAGAUUUGUGAGGGAGACCAUGUGUCGCUUGACUGUCAAGUAUACAAUGGACCUAAACCCCAUGCCAUUCUUUGCGGUUUUAGGAGUGGAGAAUCUGGGUUCUUUCAAAUUCCAAGCUUUGGUUCAAAGGGGUUGAUCCCCCUGAAAGAAAGUUCAACUGCAUUUAUCACUGCCAAGGAAGGCACCAUUGCGGCAGAGUUAGUAAAGUCUGAGUUGGCUCGUCUCAUUCCGCUGAGAUGGACUUGGGCUGUCCAAAGUCAUGCUCAUGCGAAUGGUUUCGUUGUACCAUUUCCGUCCAAAAAAAUUGAGCCCGUUCAACAUUUGGAGAAGGCUUGGGUUAAUAUCCACGGGGUGCCGUAUGAAAUUCGAUCUUUUCUUCCUCUUUGGGUGGUGGGCACCAUUAUAGGUGCUACCCAUAAAGUCGAUUUGAGAUAUACAAAACGGAUGGGUGUUGUCCGGCUCUUAGUUGGUGUAACAAACGUCGACAAGAUCCCAGAAUCUGUUGACAUAGUGGUUGGGGAAGGCCUGUAUGAAAUUUUCUUUAAAAUUGAUAAGAUUUGCAAAGAUGGAGUUUGGUCAGAAUAUUAUUACCCUUUUGAUAAGAAAGAUGAUGAUUAUGAAUCCAAGGAUGAGGAUUUUGAUGGGCUCGAUGAUAUCCAACCUAAUUUUGAUGAUACCACCAAAGACACUGAGAUGAAAGAUGUGUCCGAUGCGCUAGAAAAAUACUUAGUUGCUGUUAAUAGGUCUUCAGUUUUUAGGGAGAAUGUUGCAGCACCAACCGCUAUUGCGCAUGGGGCCGUUUAUGAUAAUAAGUGGACAGAGGUUGAAGGCACAAUUACUCUGAACGUCAAGCAAAUUGCACAACAGAAAGAUAUGCUACAGAUUUACCCAGUUGCUGCUCCUAGGGCUACAAAGUCUAGAAAAAAUGCUGCUGCACCUUUUGAUGUAGUGAGCGGGACUGUUGGUAGAGAGGGGCCUGUAGAUGCCGAUGCAUUUAACCUGAACACCAUAUGCCAUGACUCUGGGAAAAAGGCAGCUGCACCUUUUGUUGUAGUGUGCACAGCUGAUGCGAAGGGGGGUUGGCACCGUGAACGUGGAGCAGCUGUUGAGGUGAUCAUGGGAGGCUCAUACAUUGGAGAAGAGAGCACUGGUGGUGGUGAUGCGGCUGCUAUCCUAGCCACGACAACAUCUGCUGGUGGUAGUACUGGUGCUGGUGGUACUGCUUCAUCGGUUGCUCCAGAUGCUGCCUCUCUCACUGAAAAGGCUAUUGCAGCACUACCCCAUGCUCUGGCUGCACAAGCUGUUGAUUCUAAAAGGAAGGCUUGA
rnacentral:misc_RNA from 1 species